rnacentral:rRNA from 1 species
GAUGAACGCUAGCGGCAGGCUUAACACAUGCAAGUCGAGGGGUAUAGUUCUUCGGAACUAGAGACCGGCGCACGGGUGCGUAACGCGUAUGCAAUCUACCUUUUGCAGAGGGAUAGCCCAGAGAAAUUUGGAUUAAUACCUCAUAGUAUGUGAGAAUGGCAUCAUUUUCACAUUAAAGUCACAACGGCAAAAGAUGAGCAUGCGUCCCAUUAGCUAGUUGGUAAGGUAACGGCUUACCAAGGCAACGAUGGGUAGGGGUCCUGAGAGGGAGAUCCCCCACACUGGUACUGAGACACGGACCAGACUCCUACGGGAGGCAGCAGUGAGGAAUAUUGGGCAAUGGAUGCAAGUCUGACCCAGCCAUGCCGCGUGAAGGAAGAAGGUCCUCUGGAUUGUAAACUUCUUUAUCGGGGAANAAGAAUCACCUUGCGAGGUGAAGUGACGGUACCCGAUGAAUAAGCCACGGCUAAACUACGUGCC